rnacentral:rRNA from 1 species
UACGAAGGGGGCUAGCGUUGUUCGGAUUUACUGGGCGUAAAGCGCACGUAGGCGGGUUGUUAAGUCAGGGGUGAAAUCCCGGAGCUCAACUCCGGAACUGCCUUUGAUACUGAAAGUCUUGAGUAUGGGAGAGGUGAGUGGAACUGCGAGUGUAGAGGUGAAAUUCGUAGAUAUUCGCAAGAACACCGAUGGCGAAGGCAGCUGCCUGGCCUAGAACUGACGCUGAGGUGCGAAAGCGUGGGGAGCGAACAGG